rnacentral:misc_RNA from 1 species
GACAAGAUUGCGACCACUAUUGUAAGCACCUCCUGCUUCGCCAACCCAGGCGGUCGUUGAAGUGCCAGAGUUCUUGAGAAUGCUCUGAAGAUUACUGAAUGUCGAUGCUUCACCAUCGAGAUAUGAGGGAUCGAGGAUUUUGUCGAUCAAGUGAUCGUCAACACCUGGACCGAGGUUAUAAAUGUGGUGGGUGAUUACGUCCAACGAUGAAG